CCAGGAGUCUGUCAGCAAGUUCUGCAUGUCCUGGUGACCCUCCACCUGUUUCACAGUGUCACAGGGCAGCUCGAGCCUAUCCCAGCUAUCUUAGGGCGAGAAGCAGGGUGCACCCUCGACAGGUCGUUGGACUGUGGCAGGAAGCCGGAGUACAAGGAAAGAACCCACGCAAAA